UGGGGAAUAUUGCACAAUGGGCGAAAGCCUGAUGCAGCAACGCCGCGUGAGUGAUGAAGGUCUUCGGAUUGUAAAGCUCUGUCUUUUGGGACGAUAAUGACGGUACCAAAGGAGGAAGCCACGGCUAACUACGUGCCAGCAGCCGCGGUAAUACGUAGGUGGCGAGCGUUGUCCGGAUUUACUGGGCGUAAAGGGUGCGUAGGCGGAUGUUUAAGUGAGAUGUGAAAUACCCGGGCUUAACUUGGGUGCUGCAUUUCAAACUGGAUAUCUAGAGUGCAGGAGAGGAGAAUGGAAUUCCUAGUGUAGCGGUGAAAUGCGUAGAGAUUAGGAAGAACACCAGUGGCGAAGGCGAUUCUCUGGACUGUAACUGACGCUGAGGCACGAAAGCGUGGGUAGCAAACAGGAUUAGAUACCCUGGUAGUCCACGCCGUAAACGAUGAGUACUAGGUGUAGGAGGUAUCGACCCCUUCUGUGCCGCAGUAAACACAUUAAGUACUCCGCCUGGGAAGUACGGUCGCAAGAUUAAAACUCUAAAGUGAAUUGAC
rnacentral:rRNA from 1 species